rnacentral:rRNA from 1 species
GGCUGGGUUGGGUGGUCUCGCCGCAAGGUGAGCACUGCUCGGCCUGGCCUCUCCUUCUGGAAAACCAUCGUGCUCUUAACUGGGUGCGGUGGGGAUCCAGGACUUUUACUUUGAAAAAAUUAGAGUGUUUAAAGCAGGCUCGCGCUUGAAUACAUUAGCAUGGAAUAAUGAAAUAGGACG